rnacentral:lncRNA from 1 species
UGCUAAACAGUAGAGCAGAGUUCAGAAUUCAUUUUUUCCAGAAUCUGUAGGAUUUGCCAGCCAAUAACUACACCGUGAAGAGACACAGCUGAUUGUGUGAUUCUGAGCUCACCACUACCUCCACCGCCUCUGAGGAGAGACUGGAAAGUGAAUCCAAAGCCCACGGUGAGAAUUCCUGUAGGGAGAGCUGAGCAUGCACCUCCACCAUCCUUCCACAGCAGUAGCAAAGAGUCAGAGAAUUACUUGGACCACCUGACGGGGAGUUUGAGGAGCAGAGAGAAUGGUACCUGCAUUCUCCUGGCCUGGCACUGUGAGUCACUGAAUCUUCAGAGAGCUUCAGAACCCCGUCAGGCAGAGCCUUCGUCUCAAGAAUUCCUCACAAUUUGACCUUCGGGCAGCGUUCACGAUAUCUGCCCUGAACUUAGCCCAGAACUGAAAAUGUACUCAGCAGAGGCUUAGGGUGAGAAAGCAGAUUCGUUUUGGGACUCAAUGCACCAGAAAUUUAUGACAGAAUUAAAAAGUCUCUGAAGAAAACUCAGUAAAAAAAAAAAUCAGCUUUAUAAUUUUAUAUUUGAGUGGGAAAAAUAUUAAAUAGAAGUGAUUAACAGGAAUAUUUGGCACACAUAUUGUU